rnacentral:rRNA from 1 species
GACGGAGGAUGCAAGUGUUAUCCGGAAUCACUGGGCGUAAAGCGUCUGUAGGUGGUUUAACAAGUCUGCUGUUAAAAAUUGAAGCUUAACUUCGAAGGUGCCGUAGAAACUUUUAAACUUGAGGAUGGUAGGGGUAGAGGGAAUUUCCAGUGGAGCGGUGAAAUGCGUAGAUCUUGGAAAGACCACCAAUGGCGAAGGCACUCUACUGGGCCAUGACUGACACUGAGAGACGAAAGCUAGGGGAGCAAAUGGG